GAUGGCCCAGGUGUGCCUGUGAGCAGGGCCAGGUGUGCAUGUGAGCUGGGCCAGGUGUGCCUGCAACAGGGCCAGGUGUGCCUGUGAGCUGGGCCGGGUGUGCCUGUGAGCUGGGCCAGGUGUGCCUGUGAGCUGGGCCACGUGUGCCUGUGAGAUGGCCCAGGUGUGCCUGUGAGCUGGGCCGGGUGUGCCUGUGAGCUGGCCCAGGUGUGCCUGUGAGCUGGGCCGGGUGUGCCCGUGAGCUGGGCCAGGUGUGCCUGUGAGCUGGGCCGGGUGUGUCCGUGAGCUGGGCCAGGUGUGCCCGUGAGCUGGGCCAGGUGUGCCUGUGAGCUGGGCCGGGUGUGCCCGUGAGCUGGGCCGGGUGUGCCCGUGAGCUGGGCCGGGUGUGUCUGUGAGCUGGGCCGGGUGUGUCUGUGAGCUGGGCCAGGUGUGCCUGUGAGAUGGGCCGGGUGGGUCUGUGAGCUGGGCCGGGUGUGUCUGUGAGCUGGGCCGGGUGUGCCUGUGAGAUGGGCCAGGUGGGUCUGUGAGCUGGGCCAGGUGUGCCUGUGAGCUGGGCCAGGUGUGCCUGUGAGCUGGGCCAGGUGUGCCUGUGAGCUGGGCCGGGUGUGCCUGUGUGCUGGGCCGGGUGUGCAUGUGAGCAGGGCCAGGUGUGCAUGUGAGCUCAGCCAGGUGUGCAUGUGGGCAGGGCCAGGUGUGUAUGUGCGCUGAGCCAGGUGUGCAUGUGAGCUGGCCCACGUGUGCAUGUGAGCUGGGCCAGGUGUAAAUGUAAGCUGGGCCCGGUGUUGUUUUAAAGGCAACAGCAACUCUGCCUCUCCUGGUUCCCCUUCCUUGAGCAGAACACAGGUCUGCACUGAGACUAAAGGUGGAGUGUGUGUUCCUGCUUCCAUAGGUGUGAACGCACCUCCAACCCCUG